GGCUUCGUGGUCCAAUGGAAAGGACAUUUGCCUCUUACCCUGGAUUCCCGGGUUCGAUCCCUGGCCGAGGAGCUA